rnacentral:rRNA from 4 species
UUUCCGUAGGUGAACAUGCGGAAGGAUCAUUGUC